CCCACAGCUAUUUGAGCAAGGGUCCAAGACGAUGGAGAGGCGGCAAAGCUGCCGGGAGGGCCUGUUCGCAGGCAGAAAUGCACUGGCUGUGCCUCGCCCCGCCAUGUCCUUCCGCAGGUCCUUAAAUGUUAACAGAAGUUUCCCAAACCAUCCCAUGGAUGAAAAUCUGUG
rnacentral:antisense_RNA from 1 species